AAGAUAACACGAAAUGGGCGUGGAGCGGUGGCGAGAGUAGCGUGUACCCUCCGUGGCAAGAGGCUGGACGAUGGUGUAGUUGUGCUCUCGGUUUGCGUGAACCUGAUCCGGUCUUAAGAACCCCGGUGGCGGGUUGACAUAUGCAAGGGUUAAGUGCUACAUAUGUCGUGUGAUUGGAGAUCCUCAGCUGAGUAUAAUCGAUUCGGAUCGCCGUACCUUCGCGGUUAUGAAGACUUGGUCACUGCCCUACACGUAGCAUUCCACUAAAGACGAUGAGUUUUUGUUAAGAAAUUGGCUAGUAUAGGACUAGUGAUUGAACUAGGGUAGAAAGAACUCUAGUGCAGGUAAUUUUACUUAACUUGACAAAUUAAAACUGGAUUUUAAGGAUCCACUUUAGUAAGCAUUUCUGCAAAACAGAGUCUUUGAAUAUUGAAAAGCCUUACCUUGACUCCCAUAUAACCCUUGAGAGUCUUUUCUUUAGUCGGGUAAGACUUGCUGAGUAUUCCAUACUCAGGGUUUAUCCCUUCGUUGUUUUUAGGUGAGGAAGUAGCAGACUUUUGCUGCUUCUGUGCCAAGGUGGUUCCAAAAGAAGAAAAUCAAGACUGAAGUGCGGGAGGACUCGGUCCUCCACUUAGGAUCUCUUGCUUAAGAACUUAUCGGGAGGAGUUUGUGCCUCCCCUGGUUUGUAUAAUAUUACUACUCUGCACUCACUUAUAGUCUGGUCUGUAAUAACUUAACUCAAGCUUACUUUUGAAAUAAAUGUAAGAUU
rnacentral:lncRNA from 7 species